rnacentral:rRNA from 1 species
CACAUGCAAGUCGAGGGGUAGAAGGAGCUUGCUUCCUGACGACCGGCGCGACGGGUGCGUAACGCGUAUACAAUCUACCUUUACAGGAGGGAUAGCCCAGAAGUAAAUUUGGAAUUAAUACCUCAUAGUAUGUGAGAAUGGCAUCAUUUUCACAUUAAAGUCACAACGGCAAAAAGAUGAGCAUGCGUCCCAUUAGCUAGUUGGUAAGGUAACGGCUUACCAAGGCUACGAUGGGUAGGGGUCCUGAGAGGGAGAUCCCCCACACUGGUACUGAGACACGGACCAGACUCCUACGGGAGGCAGCAGUGAGGAAUAUUGGACAAUGGGCGCAAGCCUGAUCCAGCCAUGCCGCGUGCAGGAUGACGGUCCUAUGGAUUGUAAACUGCUUUGUACAGGAAGAAACACUACUUCGUGAAGUAGCUUGACGGUACUGUAAGAAUAAGGAUCGGCUAACUCCGUG